AUUGAACGCUGGCGGCAUGCCUUACACAUGCAAGUCGAACGGCAGCACGGGUGCUUGCACCUGGUGGCGAGUGGCGAACGGGUGAGUAAUACAUCGGAACAUACCUUAUCGUGGGGGAUAACGCAGCGAAAGCUGUGCUAAUACCGCAUACGCCCUGAGGGGGAAAGCGGGGGAUCGAAAGACCUCGCGCGAUUAGAGCGGCCGAUGCCUGAUUAGCUUGUUGGUGGGGUAAAAGCCUACCAAGGCGACGAUCAGUAGCUGGUCUGAGAGGACGAUCGGCCACACUGGGACUGGGACACGGCCCCGACUCCUACGGGAGGCAGCAGUGGGGAAUUUUGGACAAUGGGGGCAACCCUUAUCCAGCAAUGCCGCGUGAGUGAAGAAGGCCUUCGGGUUGUAAAGCUCUUUUGUCAGGGAAGAAACACCGGCUCUAACACAGUCCGGGAAUGACGGUACCUGAAGAAUAAGCACCGGCUAACUACGUGCCAGCCGCCGCCGUAA
rnacentral:rRNA from 1 species